UACGUAGGGUGCGAGCGUUGUCCGGAAUUAUUGGGCGUAAAGAGCUUGUAGGCGGUUUGUCGCGUCUGCUGUGAAAUCUCAAGGCUCAACCUUGAGCUUGCAGUGGGUACGGGCAGGCUAGAGUGUGGUAGGGGAGACUGGAAUUCCUGGUGUAGCGGUGAAGUGCGCAGAUAUCAGGAGGAACACCGAUGGCGAAGGCAGGUCUCUGGGCCACUACUGACGCUGAGAAGCGAAAGCAUGGGGAGCGAACAGG
rnacentral:rRNA from 1 species